GGAGAAGCAGGCUCCAUGCCGGGAGCCCGAUGUGGGACUUGAUCCCAGGGCUCAGGAUCACACCCUGAGCCAAAGGAAGACACUCAACUGCUGAGCCACCCACGUGCCCCUGACCAGUGGUGAUUUUGAAGCUGCCAACUGUUGUUCCCGGGUGGUCCCCAACUGGGAGAGCUCCAUCAGCACAGAGAUCUCCUGAGUUCAAUCCAUCAUUCUGUGGCCACAGACGGGGGAACAGAGCCCAAGAAUUUACAUUCGAAGUCGCAGAGCCAGUAACAGAAGACGCACCAGGCAGGAUUUGAAAUCUGAGAAACAAAAGAUUUUCCCAGCUGCCAGAGAGCGAACCUCUGUAGUGACUAUUCCUGAGAACAUGCAUACACAGAGGAUGUGGUGGGGUCAACCCAAGGUAAGACACCUCACCUAAUUGCCUCUCCUGUAUCUUACCCAUUCCUCGAAGCCCCCCUCAAGUCCUGACCUCUGUAGGGAAGUCUCCAGAACAGCUCCUGGCUCUCACUCCAGGGAUCUUGCAGUUAACUAGUCUAUAUCACACAGGCGAACAACUAUUUCAAAACCUGUCACGUUCCUUGGUCUUUCUCUCCCUCGUUGACUGGAAACUCCUCCAGGGACAGAGGUUAUCUUUUUAUUGUUAUUUUUUAAACUGCACAGCUCAAACAGUGGAAAUCUUGUCUCCUCUCCCUCCCCCCAAAUCAUUCUGGUUGUCUAUUUUCACAUACAGGGGAUCAUGCCAUAUAGAUUGUUCUUUAAUCUGCAUCCCACUUUGGGAUAUGUCUUACAGGCAAAUGCACACUAGUCAUAGAGAUGCGAUUCUUUCUUUUUAACCAGCACAUAGAUUCCACUGUACAGAAAGCACCCCCCACACCUUUUUUAAACAACAACAGUAUUCCUAUUGAAUGACACUUAAGUUCCUUAUGAAUUCUGUCUUUUUUUUUCUUUCUCUUAUGUGCUCCCCACAGAGCUAGUGGUUUGCAUCCUACUGCAACAGGUGGGUUGGCUCCUUCCCAGAAAGAUUUGGCCAUUGUCUUGGUGGCCCCAAAACAACUGGUGAUGCUAGCUAACAGCCCUGUAGGUGAUGUUGGUGACAGUGAUGAUUCCUGGAAAAACUCCGGAUGUUUCAGAGGUUGGGAAGUGUAGGUGAAAAGCCUGGGGUCCUGCCCAGAGAGGAGGAAGAGAGGCAAAGCUAAUGACCGCGAUGUGGUCUUGAGAUGCAGAGUCACAGAAGCAUUUUCAGGAAACCUCCUGGGCUCUGUUAGAAGAGAGAAAGGAUGCGCCGCUCCUUCUGGCCAAACUGGUCACAAGCGACGCACAGGUCUGGGCAGGAGCAGAGAGACCAGUAAUACAAAAGACAGGGGGUGACACACUCUAGAAAUCCCUGUUUUCCCAGAGCAGGAGUUACUGGGGAGAGUCAACCAACACAUGGGGGUCCUGCAGCUGCAGGAGAAACAGUCUGUUCUACCCUGUGCAGCAGGGGCUGAGCUCAUCUGAGCUGAGCCUGGAGCAAUAUGGAACCGUUGUUGGAGAGGGAACCUCACUGAGGCACUCGCACUGUGCCGAGGUUCUUUAUCGAAACGAGGAAGAGAAAGCAGGAGGAAGCAGGGAAGGGCAAGGUGGGUGAGCACCCCCUUAUGGAGCUUAGGGAGG